CCCUCUUCUUCUUAAAUCUGAUUAAAAUAAUAGCAAUGCAAUGAAGAAGGAAAAUAAUUUUGGUAACUGAAACAAAAACUCAAAACAUGGUCAGAAAUACACAUACACGCACAUGCAUGUAUUCAUGUAAGUAUAUGUGUUAUGCACAUGCAUUUUAUAACAAAGAGGAAAUUUUUGAGGAAUGAAUGGGCAUCACUUAAAAUGGUGUAAAAAUAUUCCUCUAAAAUUUUUACAUUAUUUGAGAAUUUUGUAUAAUUCUAAUGUAAGUCUUGCUUACACGAGAUAGUCUAUGGUGAAGUGUAAAUCUGAACAUUUGCAAGAUGCCUGGUGAGUCUGCUUAGAGUUUCACGAGCAGAUACAGUGUCUGGAUGGUCAUCACCACAAACUGAAGUUCUAAUAAAAAUAGCCUUCCUUAUUAAAUCAUCCCCCACACCAAACUGCCCCCCUCUCAGCAUGAGCUUUGCCCUAGUUUCCAGCACAGUGGCUCUGGAUAGUGCUAGCUCCUGCCAAAGGUAUGGAUUCAACUGAGCAUUAGUCUGGAUGGGCCUCCAACAAAGAGAUUUGUCCAACCACUUCUCAACUGGGGUAACAAAUGCUUGGUCUGCUGCUUCCAAAGCAUUAGUGCAAAGUCGCAGAAGCUCCAGAGCAGCAUUGCAUCGAGAGAAUGUAAUGAAUGUCCAAAUUGCAAGAGGCAAAACCACUUCCCUGACAAGGUACAACAACUCUGACACCUUCAGCUCAACAACUUUGGGUUCAUUGCCAAAACCGAAUAACAAAAAACAUGCUGCCCAUAUAUGUUCUGAAUGGUGGGAUAUGGACCCACGACUGAUUACAGCUUGAACCAUAGCCUGUGCAACUGCAGCAGUUCCUCUCUUGCACACAUAGAGCUUAACAAGCUCAUUGACAUGGAGAUAGCCUUGCUUGGUACUACUUCUUGCAAUAUUAAAUCUCAACAACAUGGAGGAUGCUUCUGCUUCUGACCUUUUGAUGUAUGAUGAAGUGAGACCACAACUCAAGUAAUGCAAUAAUUUUCUGCAUAACCGUGCCCCCCUAUGCUUCUGGGGUAUCUUAUUUGCAGCUAGUGCUAAUAGAGAAACAGGAAUAGCAGAUGGUCCAAACCAACCACUAGCUUGGACCAUUCUGCUUGCCAAACUCCUUGGCCCAUCUGCAUGAUCAAAUAUUGAGAAACAUAGCUCAAAGAGUUGCAACAGGAAAAUGUUGCUCUUCAGUGUAUCAGAUUCCCUACCACUCCAUGACAUCUCCCUCAAGGGCAUUCUAUUUAUGGUGUCCAAUAGCCUGCUUGGAUUUAUAGGAAGCUCAGAUAAAAUUGCUCCUACUAUUGCAAGGCCCAAAGUUGACCUUCCUACUUUCUCCUCAAUAACCCUGAAGGCAUCAAUUUCUGAAAUUGAAUAGUCUUUCCCACUGCCCUGCAUUAAACACAUUGCCUCAACCCCUGAUAAGUAAGAGAGUUUCAAGGGUUCCAAAUUCAUCACACGAGGGAGCCGUGUGGAUAUUAUGAUGUGGGUCUC
rnacentral:misc_RNA from 1 species